AUUGAACGCUGGCGGCAUGCUUUACACAUGCAAGUCGAACGGUAACAGGGUGCUUGCACCGCUGACGAGUGGCGAACGGGUGAGUAAUGCGUCGGAACGUGCCGAGUAGUGGGGGAUAACGCAGCGAAAGUUGUGCUAAUACCGCAUACGUACUGAGGUAGAAAGUGGGGGACCUUCGGGCCUCACGCUAUUCGAGCGGCCGACGUCUGAUUAGCUAGUAGGUGAGGUAAAGGCUCACCUAGGCGACGAUCAGUAGCGGGUCUGAGAGGAUGAUCCGCCACACGGGGACUGAGACACGGCCCAGACUCCUACGGGAGGCAGCAGUGGGGAAUUUUGGACAAUGGGCGAAAGCCUGAGCCAGCCAUGCCGCGUGUCUGAAGAAGGCCUUCGGGUUGUAAAGGACUUUUGUCAGGGAGGAAAUCCCUAGUGCUAAUAACACUGGGGUCGAUGACGGUACCGGAAGAAUAAGGACCGGCUAACUACGUGCCAGCCGCCGCCGUAA
rnacentral:rRNA from 1 species